rnacentral:rRNA from 1 species
UUGUCGAUUCCUGCAAAAUGCAGAACAACCCGCGAACCAGUUUGCCUGCCAACGUCCCGCCGCGCGCGGGAACGGUGCGGGGCGCGUCGGAGCUGCGAACCGUGCUUGCUUGCGCGUGUCCGGCCUCGCGCGCCUUGCGCCCCCUAACGAACCCCGACGCGAGUUGCGUCAAGGAAUCUUGAACUUAGAACGCGGCUCCCCUGUCCCGAUUUCGGGACCAAGGGGUUCCUGCGAACUGAACAUAUCAAACGACUCUCGACAACGGAUAUCUCGGCUCUCGCAUCGAUGAAGAACGUAGUGAAAUGCGAUACUUGGUGUGAAUUGCAGAAUCCCGUGAACCAUCGAGUUUUUGAACGCAAGUUGCGCCCGAAGCCUUCUGGCCGAGGGCACGUCUGCCUGGGCGUCACGCAUCGCAGCCCCCCGCACCACAAAAGAAACUUACAAUGCCUCGCUGCUCGAUCGAAGCGGACACUCGUGCCUACUUCGUCGUCCGUUGUUGGGGUUUUGUUUGCCUUUGUUGGGUGGUCGGGGAGGCGACGUUGGCCUCCCGUGCGGGUAACCUCGCGGUUGGUCUAAAUUUGAGUCCUCGGCGUCUUGCGGCGCGAUCGACGGUGGUUGCAAUGCCCUCGACGAAUUACGUUGCGCCUGCGAGACGCGCGAUCGGGAACUCCUGGUCGACCCUAAUGCGUGGACUCGUUGGUUGGACAACACCAGCCAGCGAGAAGACGUUAUCGAAGCGACCCCA